rnacentral:tRNA from 1 species
AGAGUAAUAGCACAGGGGCAGAGCACAUGCUCUGCACGCAUGAGGUCCUGGGUUCAAUUCCCAGUACCUCCA